rnacentral:rRNA from 1 species
GAUGAACGCUAGCGGGAGGCCUAACACAUGCAAGCCGAGCGGUAGAGAUUCUUCGGAAUCUUGAGAGCGGCGUACGGGUGCGGAACACGUGUGCAACCUACCUUUAUCUGGAGGAUAGCCUUUCGAAAGGAAGAUUAAUACUCCAUAAUAUAUUGAUUGGCAUCAAUUGAUAUUGAAAGCUCCGGCGGAUAGAGAUGGGCACGCGCAAGACUAGUUAGUUGGUGAGGUAACGGCUCACCAAGACGAUGAUCUUUAGGGGCCUGAGAGGGUGAUCCCCACACUGGUACUGAGACACGGACCAGACUCCUACGGGAGGCAGCAGUGAGGAAUAUUGGUCAAUGGGUGCAAGCCUGAACCAGCCAUCCCGCGUGAAGGACGACUGCCCUAUGGGUUGUAAACUUCUUUUGUAUAGGGAUAAACCUACCCUCGUGAGGGUAGCUGAAGGUCUAUACGAAUAAGCACCGGCUAACUCCGUGCCAGCAGCCGCGGUAAU